rnacentral:rRNA from 1 species
AGAGUUUGAUCCUGGCUCAGAAUGAACGCUGGCGGCGUGCCUAACACAUGCAAGUCGUAUGUGCCCGCAAGGGUGCAUGGCAGACGGGUGAGUAACGCGUGGAAAACCUACCUCUUUGUGGGGAAUAACGCUCCGAAAGGAGUGGUAAUACCGCAUGAGACCAUAGUACUGGGAUGUCUAUGGUGAAACCUGGGGACCGUAAGGCCUGGGGCAAGGAGAGGGUUCUGCGUCUGAUCAGCUAGUUGGUGAGGUAACGGCUCACCAAGGCGACGAUCAGUAGCCGGCCUGAGAGGGCAAUCGGCCACACUGGAACUGAGACACGGUCCAGACUCCUACGGGAGGCAGCAGUGGGGAAUAUUGCGCGAUGGGCGAAAGCCUGACGCAGCAACGCCGCGUGGGUGAUGAAGGUCUUCGGAUUGUAAAACCCUGUCGUCAGGGACGAAGGUUACUAGUUAAAUACAUUAGUAACUUGACGGUACCUGGAAAGGAAGCCCCGGCUAACUCUGUGCCAGCAGCCGCGGUAAUACAGAGGGGGCAAGCGUUAUUCGGAAUUAUUGGGCGUAAAGAGCGCGUAGGCGGUAUUUUAAGUGAGAUGUGCAAUCCCCGAGCUUAACUUGGGAACUGCAUCUCAGACUGGAAUGCUAGAGUACCGGAGAGGGUGGUAGAAUUCCACGUGUA